UGGGGAAUAUUGCACAAUGGGGGAAACCCUGAUGCAGCGACGCCGCGUGAGUGAAGAAGUAUUUCGGUAUGUAAAGCUCUAUCAGCAGGGAAGAAAGUGACGGUACCUGAAUAAGAAGCCCCGGCUAACUACGUGCCAGCAGCCGCGGUAAUACGUAGGGGGCAAGCGUUAUCCGGAUUUACUGGGUGUAAAGGGAGUGUAGACGGCAAGGCAAGUCUGAAGUGAAAGCCCGGUGCUUAACGCCGGGACUGCUUUGGAAACUGUUUAGCUGGAGUGCCGGAGAGGUAAGCGGAAUUCCUAGUGUAGCGGUGAAAUGCGUAGAUAUUAGGAAGAACACCAGUGGCGAAGGCGGCUUACUGGACGGUAACUGACGUUGAGGCUCGAAAGCGUGGGGAGCAAACAGGAUUAGAUACCC
rnacentral:rRNA from 1 species